CCUACGGGUGGCAGCAGUGGGGAAUAUUGCACAAUGGGGGAAACCCUGAUGCAGCAACGCCGCGUGAGUGAUGACGGCCUUCGGGUUGUAAAGCUCUGUCUUCAGGGACGAUAAUGACGGUACCUGAGGAGGUAGCCACGGCUAACUACGUGCCAGCAGCCGCGGUAAUACGGAGGUGGCGAGCGUUGUCCGGAUUUACUGGGCGUAAAGGGAGCGUAGGCGGACUUUUAAGUGAGAUGUGAAAUACUCGGGCUCAACUUGAGUGCUGCAUUUCAAACUGGAAGUCUAGAGUGCUGGAGAGGUAAGUGGAAUUCCUAGUGUAGCGGUGAAAUGCGUAGAUAUUAGGAGGAACACCAGUGGCGAAGGCGGCUUACUGGACAGUAACGGACGUUGAGGCUCGAAAGCGUGGGGAGCAAACAGGAUUAGAUACCCCUGUAGUC
rnacentral:rRNA from 1 species